UACAGAGGGGGCAAGCGUUGUUCGGAAUUACUGGGCGUAAAGGGCGCGUAGGCGGCCGCCUAAGUCAGACGUGAAAUCCCUCGGCUCAACCGGGGAACUGCGUCUGAUACUGGAUGGCUUGAGUUCGGGAGAGGGAUGCGGAAUUCCAGGUGUAGCGGUGAAAUGCGUAGAUAUCUGGAGGAACACCGGUGGCGAAGGCGGCAUCCUGGACCGGCACUGACGCUGAGGAGCGAAAGCCAGGGGAGCAAACGGG
rnacentral:rRNA from 1 species